rnacentral:rRNA from 1 species
CGGGUGAGUAACGCGUGGGCAACCUGCCUUAUACAGGGGGAUAACAGCUGGAAACAGCUGCUAAUACCGCAUAAGCGCACAGUGCUGCAUGGUACAGUGUGAAAAACUGAGGUGGUAUAAGAUGGGCCCGCGUCUGAUUAGCUGGUUGGGAGGGUAACGGCCUACCAAGGCGACGAUCAGUAGCCGGCCUGAGAGGGCGGACGGCCACAUUGGGACUGAGACACGGCCCAGACUCCUACGGAAGGCAGCAG